rnacentral:sRNA from 1 species
GCAGCCGCAUGUGCGAUGAUUCUGGCCUCCUUCAAGUCCAUCGUCAUGGCCAGCGGCGAUUCGCGCC